CCUACGGGAGGCAGCAGUGAGGAAUAUUGGUCAAUGGCCGUAAGGCUGAACCAGCCAAGUCGCGUGAGGGAAGACGGCUCUAUGGAUCGUAAACCUCUUUUAUGCGGGAAUAAAGGUGUGGACGUGUGGAUGUUUGCAGGUACCGCAUGAAUAAGGACCGGCUAAUUCCGUGCCAGCAGCCGCGGUAAUACGGAAGAUCCGAGCGUUAUCCGGAUUUAUUGGGUUUAAAGGGAGCGUAGGCGGGUCUUUAAGAGUGCGGUGAAAUUUUGUGGCUCAACCAUGGGAUUGCCGCGGGAACUGGGGAGCUUGAGUGCGCGGAAGGCAGGCGGAAGGCGUGGUGUAGCGGUGAAAUGCUUAGAUAUCACGCAGAACCCCGAUUGCGAAGGCAGCCUGCCGAAGCGUUACUGACGCUGAAGCACGAAAGCGCGGGUAUCGAACAGGAUUAGAUACCCCAGUAGUC
rnacentral:rRNA from 1 species